AAAUACACACAAAAGCCUGUAAUUAAGAACAGCUUCUUGACUUUUUUUUUUUUUUCAGUGACAGGCAGUGAAAGAUACUUCUUAGAAAAUGUUGACUCCUCUGGAAUAAAGCACUGCUAUGAGGCACUGGUUGGGAAAUUCAUGAGAAAGGAAACUGACUCUUAGAAAACAUGCCAGGUUAAAGGGUUCUGACAUUGACAACAGAAGAAAAAAGCUGCUUAGAAGUACUUGCAUUUGGCAUCUUUUCUGCACAUCGAAUACAGGAGACAGAGCAAAUAAUUUAUUAUGACUAAUUUAUGAGUUAAUAAAUAAAGUUUAGAGUCCACAAUCUGCAUCCGGGGGCUGAGGCUGUUCCAUGCCUGCUGAGCACUGUCCCUCCAGGAGAAAGCUGUUCUUCCAGGAAUGCCUUCACUCCCAGGCUUUGAGAUCCAUAACACAACCAUAAUGUGCACAGAAGGGGAAGAAAUAUUUAAGGACAGGAGCCUAUCACAACUGUCCGCUGAGAGGCUCCACACAGCAAGUGACUGGAACAGAUGCACACAGAUGCACAGCAGCUAAAUAUAAAGUAGAGACUGGGGAGUCUUGUGGGAAAGCAGAGAGGACAGUUUAUCCACAAGAAGACCAACAAAGUCAACUAACCUAGACCCUUGAUGGCUCUAAGAGACUGAGCCACCCACCAAAGGCUUGAUGUCAGCUCCCUGAUCACGUGCAGCUUGGUCUUCCGGUCUCCCAACAACGGAAGGGGGCAUUUCUGACUCUGUUGCCUCUCUGUGAAUAUGUUCCCCCAAAUGGGCUGCCUUUGCUGGCCUAGUAGGAAACUGUGUGCCUAGUCCUGCAGUGACUUGAUUUGCCCUUGUGGGUUGAUAACCAGUGGGGGUGUCCAUUUUCACAAAGGAGAAAGGGAAGGAAGCAGUGAUUAGGGUUAUGUGAGAAGGGAACUUACAAGAGGGCCCUGGGCCUUGAAGCUACAAGGGCAUCUCCUGUGGGAAGACCUCACUGAGGACUGCCUGAAAGACCAAUGAUUACAGACACAGACAAUGCCAGCCAAUCAGAAUUUAGAAGAGAUGCUUUCUCUUCUUGGGACCAAUGGAGCACAGGUGGAGGAUAUUAAAGGAACUUGCAGCAGCAUUCAGAGGAGCUUGCUUCAGAGUUUCUCACCUGCUCCUUAACCUGUGCCACUGAUUCCACAUCACCUCACUUCCAACCCCCAAGGUCAAGUACCAGGUGAUCCAGGUCACAGGCAACAUCGACUGGGCAGAAAAGAAAAAGGAGGGCUUUGGUCAGGAUGUAAAGUAUGUGAAUAAAUACAUAAAUUAAUGCAAGAAAAAGUAAAAAAUAGUAAAAAAAAGCAUCUUUUUUAUUAAUCAUUUUAUUUGGUUACAUUUCAAAUAAUCUCCCCAUUCCAGUUACUCCUCCACAAUACCCAAUCCCUUCCUCCCUCUCUCCCCUCUCUUUUGGCUCUAUGAGGAUGAGGAUGUUCCUCCGCCCACUCACUCCUGCCUCAUUGCUCUAGCACUCCUCUACGAAGGAGUAUUAAACCUCCACAGGACAAAGGUCCUCCCUUCAAUUGAUGUCAGAUAAAGCCAUCCUCUGCUUCCUAUGUAUCUGGAGCCAUGGCUCCCUCCAUGUAUACUCUUUGGUUGGUGGUUUAGUCUCUGGGAGCUCUGGAUGGUCCAGUUAGUGGUUAUUGUUCUUCCUGUGGGGUUGCAAUCCCCUUCAGCUCUUUCAGUCCUUCCCCUAGCUCUUCCAUUGGGAUCCCAGGACUCAUUCUGAUGGUUGGCUGUGAGUAUCUAUAUCUGUAUUAGAUGCUGGCAGAACCUCUCAGGGAACAAUCAUACCAUGCUCCUUCUUCACAUUUUUUAUUUCCAAUUCCUUGAACCUUGGGAAUCUUGUCCAUUUUAUUUACCAUGUUUAGAACCUUGUAGCCCUUCAUCAUUUUUUUUCCAAGUGUGUACAUGCAUAGUGCCUCCAUGUGGCUCUUUGAAUAAUGGUGUCCUAAGCUCAUAUAUUUAUAAGCUUAUUCCCCAUUUGGUGAACUAUUUGGGAGGAUUAAAAGGUGGGGCCUUGUUAGAGGGGAUGGGUCCCUUUAGUGUGGUCUUUGAGGUUUCAAAAGGACAAGUCAAGCUUGCAUUGUUUUUUCUUUUUCUGGCCUGAAGAUCAAUAUAUAAAGAUUACAGCUACUUCUUCAGUCAUGUUUCCACAAUGAUGACAUUGGAUUAAGCUUCUGAAAUCCUAGGCAAGACCCCAAGUAAGUGUUUUCUUUUAUAAGAGUUGGCUUGGUCAUGUUGUCUUUUCACAGAAAUAGAACAGUGACCGAGACCCUCCACAAGGGAGCCAUGUUUGCCAUUUACUGUACUCAUCUCCAUAGAAAGCAUCAUGUUUAUAGUUAAAUAAUUAUGGACACCUUCAUUUGUUUAAAGAAAAGCUUCUGCUUGGAAUAUUAUCUUAUGAAAAUCGAGAAAUCUACAAGACGACAAAAAUAAGAAUUUUAUAAAUAUUUGAUGGAAAAUAAAUAUGUUCAAUAAUGAUGCUGAACUGUAGUUUUAAGGCUUUGGCAUACUUUUCUUUUUGAGAUUAUAAUACAAUUACAAUAUUUUCCCCUUCUCCCUCUUCCAAACCCUCCCUGCUCUCCUUCAAAUUCUUGUCCUCAUCUUUAUGCAUAUACUCAUAUGUACACAAAAGACUCACAGAAAUGAAAAAUACAAAACAAUAAAGCAAGACGAAAAAAGGGAAAAAUAAGUUAAUGGGCAUUACAGUUUCAAUGAGAUACUGUAUAUUCCAACACGAUGUGCCAUCUAGAACUUACAGCACACAAAGUUUUAGAGCUAGGAGGAGAAUGAAAUAUUGAGUAGUUUUACAACCAACUACCAUCAUUUUAAAAUCUUAUGUCCUUUUGUUGAAAUUCCUUCAUUUAAAAAUAUAGUUCCUGAAACCACUUGUCCUUUACCUGUGUCUUCAUAGAGCCUCUGGUUUCUGUCUUUCAGAUUUCUUUAGAAUUCCUUGUUUUCUAAUUAUUUCUUGUUUCUAUAGUUUCAUGCUUCUUUUAUGUAUUAUGUAUAGCUGUCAAUGCACACACAUCAAAAUAAUGAGUUUUCAAAUAAUGUAUAAAUUGGACAUUUAAGUAAGAUAACUUUCUUACCAGACAAAACAGUAUGUUUUAUUUCUCUAUUGAGCAUGUAAAAUAAUGUUUUCUCGAAGAUCAAUCAAGUCUCUCUAUUAGUUUUGUCACUUGUACAAAUUUACUUGAACAUGCCUUCCUUAAACACACACACACUCAAGAGAGAGAGAGAGAGAUAGAGAGAGAGAGAGAGAGAGAGAGGCAGAGAGGCAGAGAGAGAGAGAAACACAGAGAGAGACAGGGAGAGAGACAGAAACAGAGACAGAUAGAACAUUUAAUAAGUUUUAUAAUGCUUACCUCUGACCUGGCUUCUUUGUGACAACAUUCUCCCUUCACCCAUUUUCAACCUUUAGCAACCUACCAAUCUAAUGCCUAUUAUUUGCUAUAAGUUGUCAUUAUACUAACUGUUUUAUAUUAUAACUGAUAUAUUGAAAGUGAAGUUUUAUCUGUAUCUUUCAAAUUGAAGCUUUUAUGACUAUGCUUGCAUUCAGUCUUUAUACAAUUAUAUUCAUUUCCAUUAUCAUCCAUCAAUAAAGAAAGCAGGAGUAAUUUACAGGGUGACUGGAAGACCAAUCUAUGUCCUUUUUUUUUUCCUCUACAUUUUUCCUGUCAUUACUGAGUGUGAACAUGUAGAUUGUAGCGGCACUUUUUAUAAGGGUGGGUAUUGACUGACUCAUGUUCAGAAUCUCUGGGAUGGUGCCAGAGUAA
rnacentral:lncRNA from 1 species